rnacentral:rRNA from 1 species
UACGUAGGGGCCUAGCGUUGUCCGGAAUUAUUGGGCGUAAAGAGCUCGUAGGCGGUUUGUCGCGUCGACUGUGAAAACCUACAGCUUAACUGUGGGCUUGCAGUCGAUACGGGCAGACUUGAGUUCGGUAGGGGAGACUGGAAUUCCUGGUGUAGCGGUGAAAUGCGCAGAUAUCAGGAGGAACACCGGUGGCGAAGGCGGGUCUCUGGGCCGAAACUGACGCUGAGGAGCGAAAGCGUGGGGAGCGAACAGG